rnacentral:rRNA from 1 species
AUUGAACGCUAGCGGGAUGCUUUACACAUGCAAGUCGAACGAGUGGCGGACGGGUGAGUAAUAUAUCGGAAGUUCCCAGUAGCGGGGGAUAACUACUGGAAACGGUAGCUAAUACCGCAUACUAUCGGAUUACCCAUAUGGAAUUAGCUAGUAGGUAAGGUAAUGGCUGACCUAGGAGACGAUCCCUAGCUGAGCUGAGAGGAUGAUCAGCCACACUGGAACUGAGACACGGCCCAGACUCCUACGGAGGCAGCAGUGGGGAAUAUUGCACAAUGGGCGAAAGCCUGACGGAGCCAUGCCGCGUGAAUGAAGAAGGCCCUAGGGUUGUAAAGUACUGUCAGUCGGGAAGCGUUACCUACAGAAAAAGCACCGGCUAACUCCGUGCCAGCAGCCGCGGUAAUUC